GGCCUCGUUGGCGCAGUAGGUAGCGCGUCAGACUCAUAAUCUGAAGGUCGUGAGUUCGACCCUCACAUGGGUCA